UACGUAGGGGGCAAGCGUUGUCCGGAAUCAUUGGGCGUAAAGAGCGUGUAGGCGGUUCGGUAAGUCUGCUGUGAAAGUCCAGGGCUCAACCCUGGAAAGCCGGUGGAUACUGUCGGACUAGAGUGCGGAAGAGGCGAGUGGAAUUCCUGGUGUAGCGGUGGAAUGCGCAGAUAUCAGGAGGAACACCUGUGGUGUAGACGGCUCUCUGGACAGUAACUGACGCUGAGACACGAAAGCGUGGGUAGCAAACAGG
rnacentral:rRNA from 1 species